rnacentral:rRNA from 1 species
UACGUAGGGUGCGAGCGUUAAUCGGAAUUACUGGGCGUAAAGCGUGCGCAGGCGGUUUUGUAAGCCAGAUGUGAAAUCCCCGGGCUUAACCUGGGAAUGGCAUUUGGGACUGCAAGGCUUGAGUGCGGCAGAGGAGACUGGAAUUCCACGUGUAGCAGUGAAAUGCGUAGAGAUGUGGAGGAAUACCGAUGGCGAAGGCAGCCUCCUGGGCCAACACUGACGCUCAUGCACGAAAGCGUGGGGAGCAAACAGG